CCUACGGGUGGCAGCAGUGGGGAAUAUUGGACAAUGGGGGCAACCCUGAUCCAGCCAUGCCGCGUGUGUGAAGAAGGCCCUCGGGUUGUAAAGCACUUUCAGUGAGGAAGAACGCCUGGUGGUUAAUACCCAUCAGGAAAGACAUCACUCACAGAAGAAGCACCGGCUAACUCCGUGCCAGCAGCCGCGGUAAUACGGAGGGUGCGAGCGUUAAUCGGAAUUACUGGGUGUAAAGCGCGCGUAGGUGGCUUGAUAAGCCGGUUGUGAAAGCCCCGGGCUCAACCUGGGAACGGCAUCCGGAACUGUCAAGCUAGAGUGCAGGAGAGGAAGGUAGAAUUCCCGGUGUAGCGGUGAAAUGCGUAGAGAUCGGGAGGAAUACCAGUGGCGAAGGCGGCCUUCUGGACUGACACUGACACUGAGGUGCGAAAGCGUGGGUAGCAAACAGGAUUAGAUACCCUAGUAGUC
rnacentral:rRNA from 1 species